AUACGGAGGAUGCAAGCGUUAUCCGGAUUCAUUGGGUUUAAAGGGUGCGUAGGCGGUUUGCUAAGCGGGAGGUGAAAUGCCGGCGCUCAACGUCGGAAGUGCCUCCCGAACUGGUGGACUGGAAUGACUCUGCCGUGGGAGGAAUGUGUAGUGUAGCGGUGAAAUGCUUAGAGAUUACACAGAACACCGAUUGCGAAGGCAUCUCACGAAGGGUUGAUUGACGCUGAGGCACGGAAGCGUGGGGAUCAAACAGGAUUAGAUACCCUGGUAGUCCACGCAGUAAACGAUGAUGGCUAACCGCUGGUUUAUUCGGAUCAGUGGCCAAGCGAAAGCGAUAAGCCAUCCACCUGGGGAGUACGACCGCAAGGUUGAAACUCAAAUGAAUUGGCGGGG
rnacentral:rRNA from 1 species